GUGUUUGGCCAUUUAUCACUAAGUCAUCUCACACUGACUGCUAUGUCAUUGCCAUGUCAAGAUGCAUGGAUUAUAAUGUGAGAUGGGCAACAACAGAAGUUGUGUCUGACAGAGCAAAACCCAGAUAAGUCAAGUGAUACAGUAAAACCACAAAUUAAAGAAAUUUCCUGAUACAUAAACACAAAAUAAACAAAUAGAUUCAUGAAUAUGUUGGCAUCAAUAUAGCACCGUGUUGUCACGAACGGUCGUCGCGCACCCGCAACAACUCCGUUCAACGAACCGUUCGUCACUCACACCUGCAUGUAUAGCUGCUUGACAGCAUGUUUUCUCUUGGUUUUGGGUAAUUUUGCUUGUAAAUAUGUAAGUUCGAACACACUGCAGCGUUACAAAGCGACUGCUCACCGAACCGAGCAAAACAGCCCCAAAACAGCUCCGUUUUCGCGUGCCGCGAGAGGUGAGCGGAGAACUGCCUCCGUUCACCAAAAUGUCAGCCAUCUCAGACCCCAGGAACCCCCCGGGUGGCACAGGGCUGGAUGGGGCUUCGGUUAUAUACCGAGCAUUGAACCCUCUUUCGCAAGUUCGUACGUGACCUUUACGGGAACUUGUCUUCGCGCCCGGGACCAGGUGAGCGGCUGUUUGUGGGCUUGCAGCUGUUCGUUCAUCCUUGAAAGCCUUGUUUUUCUCCCUCUCCCUCUUUUCUCUUGUGCACACAAGGUGUUCGUCGAAUUGCUUGUAAAGCUUCCAAUUUCGCGAGACUUCGGGACUAGUCCAUUGCUCGUUCUUUCGAACUAACUCUCUUUCUCUUUUACAGGUCCUUCGGGACCUACGAGAGGUUACAAAGUGGGCUGAUCCUUGCGGAGCAAUAUCGCAAGGGCGAAGCGCGACUUAGGCAACGCAAGCUAAGUUCGCGUCUUUGCCACAAGGGUGACUCGCGACUUAGGCGACGCAAGCUAAGUUUGCGUCUUUGGCCGCAAGGGUGCCUCACACCUUAGGCAACUCCAGCUAAGGUCGUGACAUUGUGGUAUCAGAGCGGGCAAGCUCUUCGAUCGAACAGCGAACGAACUUCGCAACUUCGCCAUGGCAAAGCAUCGUGGCGAAUCAAGCAAGACGGGGCAAGCCGGACCCUUGCCCCAAGCAGCCGCAGGUGGGCUGCAUGUGCACACUCGCUCUCAUGCUGUUGGAGCCGCUCAAGAGGACCGCGGUAGCGAACAAGAUGAGCGAGAAGUUGGCCACUCUCCGCGAGCGGAGGAAGCGCAAUCUGGUGCGCUAACUGGGAAAAAGAGUCAUAAGGAGAGACUCACGACGGCGGAAACCCGCCUGGAUGUUCUUGAAGCGAGCAUGGAGGAACUCUACCAUGGCCAACAAAGACUUGUUGGGGUAGAGAGCUCGCAAGAGGAAGCAAAGUCUAGGAUCGACAAGGUCGAGGCCCUAGUUGACCGACUGUCUGAUGACACUAAAGACUCCGUGCAACACUUACAGGAUGUUGUGGCGGAACUCACGGCAAAGGUGGCCAUGCUCACAAGAACACUAAAUGCGGGAGGAGGCAACACUCGCGUUGCACCGCCACAAAAUUUGAGGGCACCUGAGCCUCAUGGAUAUGGAGGGGCCAGAGAUGCCAAAGAGCUCGAGAACUUUCUGUUCGACAUGGAGCAAUACUUCCGAGCUAUGAGGCCCGAUUCUGAAGAUACCAAAGUUUCUAUAGCAACAAUGUAUCUGAACGGAGAUGCGAAACUUUGGUGGCGAACUCGUUGGGAAGAGAUCCAACAAGGUUGGUGUCGAGUCGACACAUGGGAGGACUUGAAGCGGGAGUUGAGAACUCAGUUCCUACCGAAGAACACAGAGUUCGUCGCAAGAAGGAAGUUGAGACAACUCCGCCAAAGCACCACCAUCCGAGACUAUGUGAAACAGUUUUCUGCACUAAUGCUGGACAUACAGGACAUGUCCGAGAAUGACAAGUUGUUCAGCUUCCUCGAUGGUUUGAAACCAUGGGCUCAACAGGAGCUAAAUCGAAGGAAUGUUACCGAUGUGGUCGGGGCAAUUGCUGUUGCAGAAAGGCUCACCGACUUUGUUUCCUCUGAAGACCCAGCGAGAAGGAAACAAUCUUCAGGCAAUCACCCUCCAAAACAUUCGUGAGGGAAGGAGCUCGGGGGCGAACAAAAGAAGAAGAGCUCUCACAAAGGGCCGAACCCGAAAGGCAAGGCCUCAAAACCUGGAGGAUGCUUCUUGUGCGGAGGACCGCACAUGGUAAGGGAGUGCCCACAAAAAUAGGCACUCAAUGCUUUGACGGCUUCCAUCCACCCCCCCGAUCGGACAAGGGCAAAGCUGUUGCCCUUAGCUCAAGCAGUUCUGAAUCCAGCAGCGACGAUGAGGAGUCGCAAGGACCCCGGAUGGGAGCAAUGCGUCUGUUGAACGCUAUGCGGGGUCAAGUGGGGGAGAACAUGAAGACCAAGGUACAAAAAGCAGGAAGUAGUGAACUGAUGUAUGUGGACAUCAAGCUGAAUGGCCAAACGACCCGUGCAAUGGUGGACACGGGCACUACCCACAACUUCAUAGCCGAUCGUGAAGCACAACGACUUGGGUUGACCUUGGAGAAGAGCCCAAGCCGAAUGAAGGCGGUGAACUCGGAGGCCAGGCGAAUCUCCGGGUUGGCGAAGGGAGUUCCCAUCAAAAUCGGGACUUGGAGCGGAAACACCAACAUGAUGGCCGUGCCACUGGACGACUUCCAAGUGAUUCUUGGAAUGGAGUUUAUGCACGCGGCGAAGUUGGUGCCGAUAUCGUUCUUGAACUCCCUAUGUAUGAUGGGAGGCGAUGACCCCUGCGUGGUUCCCGUCUCUCGGAGAGGAACCAAGGAGCCCCAACACAUUUCGGCCUUACAAUUGAAGAAAGGGGUGCGGAAAGGCGAACUGACAUUCGUGGCUGCUAUGAAGCUAGAGCCACUCAACGAGGAGGCCAUUCAAGAACCUGCUGUGGUGGCGAACGUCCUGAAAGAGUUCAAAGAUGUCAUGCCACCCGAGUUGCCGAAGACUCUUCCACCACGUAGAGGCGUGGAUCACAGUAUCGAGCUGGAACCAGGAGUGAAGCCUCCAGCAAGACCACCCUAUCGCAUGCCUCCACCAGAGUUGGCAGAACUCAGGAAGCAGUUAGGUGAACUGCUAAGCGGUGGUCUCAUCCGUAGCUCUAAAGCACCUUUCGGAGCUCCAGUUCUCUUCCAGAAGAAACAAGAUGGGAGUCUCCGAUUAUGCGUCGACUACAGAGCCCUCAGUAAAGUAACAGUGAAGAACAAGUAUCCCAUCCCGCUCAUCGCGGACUUGUUCGACCAAUUGGGCAAGGCUAAGUAUUUCUCAAAACUCGACCUUCGGUCGGGGUAUUGGCAGGUGCGCAUUGCUGAAGGCGACGAAGCGAAGACUACUUGUGUGACCAGGUAUGGAGCGUUUGAGUUCUUGGUGAUGCCUUUCGGCUUAACCAACGCUCCGGCCACAUUCUGUACUCUCAUGAACCAGCUAUUCAAGGAGUAUUUGGAUAAGUUCGUGAUUGUCUACCUGGACGAUAUCGUCGUCUACAGCCAAAUGCUCGAGGAGCACGUCAAGCACCUUCGGACGAUUUUCAAGGUUCUCAGGGAGAACACGUUGUUCGUAAAAAGGGAGAAAUGCUACUUUGCUCAAACUGAGAUCCUGUUCUUGGGGCACCGAAUCGGUGAUGGCUCCAUUCGGAUGGAUAAGUCGAAGGUGCAAGCCGUUGCGGAAUGGCGAACUCCAAAGAAGGUGCCAGAGUUGAGAUCCUUCCUUGGUUUCGUCAACUACUAUCGACGCUUCAUUGCGGGAUAUUCGAAGCGGGCAACCCCACUGACAGAGUUGCCGAAGAAGGAGCAGCCUUGGAAGUGGUCUGACAAAUGUGAGAUAGCAUUCCAAGAUCUGAAGGCUGCUGUUCUAGAAGAACCAGUACUCAAAUUGCCAAACUAUGGAGAGCCCUUUGAAGUCUAUACAGAUGCUUCGGACUUCGCUAUUGGGGGAGUACUCAUGCAGGAAGGUCAUCCGGUGGCCUACGAGAGCCGCAAACUCAACGAGACCGAGAGGCGGUACCCAGUGCAUGAGAAGGAGAUGACAGCCGUGAUCCACUGUCUACGAGUUUGGCGACACUACCUCCUCGGGUCGCGAUUUGUGCUGAGGACAGAUAACAUCGCCCUGAGCUAUUUCCAAACUCAGAAGAAGCUCUCCCCAAAGCAGGCACGGUGGCAGGACUUCCUGGCUGAAUUUGAUAUGGCAAUGGAGUACAAGCCUAGGAAGGCGAAUGUCGUGGCCGAUGCGCUGAGUCGGAAAGUGGAAUGCGUGAAUGCUGCACAACUGGAGGGUAGAGGCCAAGCAAGUCAGUUACACUCCAACUUCCUUUCCCGAAUCAAGGAUGGGCUGUAUAGUGAUCCCCAGGCAGUUAUCCUGAUGCAGCUCAUCAAAGAAGGCAAGGCACGACGAUUUUGGGUCCAGGAGGGAUUUGUUUACACAAAAGGGAAUAGGGUUUAUGUUCCCCGAGUGGACAAUUUAAGGCGUGAACUUUUAAAAGAGUGUCACGAUUCCCUUUGGGCUGGACACCCAGGUAUUCACAGAACGUUGGCUCUCGUGGAGAGGGCCUUGUACUGGCCGAAGAUGGGGACUGAUAUGGAGGAAUAUGUUCAAACAUGCCUUACUUGCCAACAAGACAAGGUGGAGCAGCGGAAGCCGGUGGGACUUUUGGAGCCGUUGCCCGUACCAGAAAGGCCGUGGGAGAGCAUUUCCUUAGACUUUAUAUCAAGCUUACCGCCUAUAGGGGGACUUGGAUCGAUACUCGUGGUGGUCGAUCGGUUUUCAAAGUAUGCAACUUUCAUCGCUGCACCCCUACACUGUUCAGCAGAGGAGGCGGCCAGGCUGAUGAUGAAGGAUGUGGUGAAGUAUUGGGGAGUCUCGCACAAUAUCAUUAGUGAUCGAGACGCUCGGUUCCUGGGACGAUUCUGGACCGAGCUAUUCAAAUUGUUGGGGUCAAAGUUAUACUUCUCUAUAAGCCUCCACCCCCAGACGGAUGGCCAGACUGAAAGAAUAAACUCGCUCUUGGAGCAAUAUCUCCGGCACUACGUGAGUGCUAAUCAACGAGAUUGGGUGAAGCUGUUGGACAUUGCCCAAUUCUCCUACAACUUGCAAUGGAGCUCUGCAUCCAACAAGAGCCCCUUCGAGAUUAUCACAGGACAACAACCGUCGACUCCGCACACCAUGGCAAUUGGGUAUACUGGGAGUAGUCCAUCAGCCUAUCAUUUCGCAAAGGAGUGGCAUCGAAAUGCAGAUAUUGCGCGGGCUUACUUGGAGAAGGCGGCAAAACAGAUGAAGAAGUGGGCAGACUUGGGAAGGCGACCACAAGAGUUCAAAGUUGGCGAUUUGGUGUUGGUAAAGCUCCAACCANNNNNNNNNNNNNNNNNNNNGUUGCAGCUGCCGGCGUGGUUCAAAAUUCACAACGUUCUUCACGCCAGCAACCUAAAAGCCUACCACUCGGAUCCGCAAGAUGCUUCCCGAAGUGUUCCAACUCGGCUACCUCCCAUCACAGCCUCCUACGAGAAGCGAGUGGAAACCAUUCUGACGGAUCGCAAGAUAAAGCUACCCAACGGAGCUGAGCAGACAGAGUACUUGGUGAAGUGGCGAAAGCUUCCCCGAACUGAAGCCAGUUGGGAGCCUGAAGACGCCCUGCGACAUGAAGAAGAAGUCAUCAACAACUACCAACAAGUGUCGACGAGGGCGUCGACAGUUUAAGUGGGGGAGAAUGUCACGAACGGUCGUCGCGCACCCGCAACAACUCCGUUCAACGAACCGUUCGUCGCUCACACCUGCAUGUACAACUGCUUGACAGCAUGUUUUCUCUUGGUUUUGGGUCAUUUUGCUUGUAAAUAUGUAAGUUCGAACACGCUGCAGCGUUACAAAGCGACCGCUCACCGAACCGAGCAAAACAGCCCCAAAACAGCCCAAAACAGCUCCGUUUUCGCGUGCCGCAGGAGGUGAGCGGAGAACUGCCUCUGCUCACCAAAAUGUCAGCCAUCUCAAACCCCAGGAACCCCCCGGGUGGCACAGGGCUAGAUGGGGCUUCGGUUAUAUACCGGGCGUUGAACUCUCUUUCGCAAGUUCGCACGUGACCUUUACGGGAACUUGUCUUCGCGCCCGGGACUAGGUGAGCGGCUGUUUGUGGGCUUGCAGCUGUUCGUUCAUC
rnacentral:lncRNA from 1 species